CGUUUAGCUCAGCUGGUUCAGAGCAUCUGCCUUACAAGCAGAGGGUCGGCGGUUCGAAUCCGUCAACGCCCACACCA
rnacentral:tRNA from 1 species